GCCGGUUUCGGCCACCGGCCAUAACCUCCUCAGGCACGGAGAGCGAGUACGAGCAAAGCAAAGAAAACCAGUUAACACACGCUCCCUGGACGAUCCCACCGUCAAAUCUUAAACCCUAGGCUAGCAGAAAUUGCAUAAGGGUUUUGGUUGGGAGAAAAGCAGAUAAGAAAUGGGCCAACAGUUGCUGAUCUACAACUCCGUGGCUCCAGGAACGGUGAUCAUCGCCGAGUACACCAAGUUCAUGGGGAAUCUGACCAGCAUCACCUCCCAGUGUCUCAAGAAGCUCCUCGCGGACCUCGCCAAUAAGCGGCCUUGAUUUCCUGAAGCACUGCAAUAUUUAUGGGGUGCAAUAAUGGAGAGAUUGAGAUAGGCUUCUCUAAUGAUACUCAAUUGCAGACUGCAAAAAGGUUUGUUAGUCCCAGCGUCAAGUGAUCCAAGUGUGCAUGUCCACGAAGUUUUGAAGCAUGUCAAGAGGAUUUCUUGUUCAUUGCCUUGAACCUCCAGUUAUCUAUAUUGGAGUUUCUCUAUUGCUCUGACAAGUGACUAUUAGUGCCCCAGUCAACUUUUCGUUCAGCUCCAAUUGGCUUGGGAGAUCGUUUUAGUUGGCUCUGUUUUCACUUUGUUCUGGUUGUGAGAUAUUUGUAUCGUUUGGCCAUUUUCCUCAGCGUGGGUGCCAACAUUGUAGGGAUGUAGAUCUUUGGUUGUGAUGCCGUCUUUCCCGUUUCCUUUUAAUCUUUGUAACUAUUGUUCCUUUGAUUAAUAAAAUUUUCUUUUGCCGAUAAAAAA